AGUGAACGCUGGCGGUAGGCCUAACACAUGCAAGUCGAACGGCAGCACAGUAAGAGCUUGCUCUUACGGGUGGCGAGUGGCGGACGGGUGAGGAAUACAUCGGAAUCUACUUUUUCGUGGGGGAUAACGUAGGGAAACUUACGCUAAUACCGCAUACGACCUACGGGUGAAAGCAGGGGAUCUUCGGACCUUGCGCGAUUGAAUGAGCCGAUGUCGGAUUAGCUAGUUGGCGGGGUAAAGGCCCACCAAGGCGACGAUCCGUAGCUGGUCUGAGAGGAUGAUCAGCCACACUGGAACUGAGACACGGUCCAGACUCCUACGGGAGGCAGCAGUGGGGAAUAUUGGACAAUGGGCGCAAGCCUGAUCCAGCCAUACCGCGUGGGUGAAGAAGGCCUUCGGGCUGUAAAGCCCUUUUGUUGGGAAAGAAAAGCAGCAGGUUAAUACCCCGCUGUUUUGACGGUACCCAAAGAAUAAGCACCAGCUAACUUCGUG
rnacentral:rRNA from 1 species